UACCUUUUGUAUACUGGGUCAGCGACUUAUAUUCUGUAGCAAGGUUAACCGUAUAGGGGAGCCGCAGGGAAACCGAGUCUUAACUGGGCGUUAAGUUGCAGGGUAUAGACCCGAAACCCGGUGAUCUAGCCAUGGGCAGGUUGAAGGUUGGGUAACACUAACUGGAGGACCGAACCGACUAAUGUUGAAAAAUUAGCGGAUGACUUGUGGCUGGGGGUGAAAGGCCAAUCAAACCGGGAGAUAGCUGGUUCUCCCCGAAAGCUAUUUAGGUAGCGCCUCCUGAAUUCAUCUUCGGGGGUAGAGCACUGUUUCGG
rnacentral:rRNA from 1 species